rnacentral:rRNA from 1 species
UGGGGAAUCUUGCGCAAUGGGCGAAAGCCUGACGCAGCCAUGCCGCGUGAAUGAUGAAGGUCUUAGGAUUGUAAAAUUCUUUCACCGGGGACGAUAAUGACGGUACCCGGAGAAGAAGCCCCGGCUAACUUCGUGCCAGCAGCCGCGGUAAUACGAAGGGGGCUAGCGUUGCUCGGAAUUACUGGGCGUAAAGGGCGCGUAGGCGGAUCGUUAAGUCAGAGGUGAAAUCCCAGGGCUCAACCCUGGAACUGCCUUUGAUACUGGCGAUCUUGAGUAUGAGAGAGGUAUGUGGAACUCCGAGUGUAGAGGUGAAAUUCGUAGAUAUUCGGAAGAACACCAGUGGCGAAGGCGACAUACUGGCUCAUUACUGACGCUGAGGCGCGAAAGCCAGGGGAGCAAACGGGAUUAGAUACCCUCGUAGUCCCUGAGCGGGCUGGCAAGGCGCAU